ACGACACCAAGUUAGCUGUAGACAGCCAGCUGUCCAGUGUCAGGAAAGUGAUGGAUAAGAUAGCGGAGGUGUGCCCAAACCCGUUGUCCAUAAAAGGAGGAAAAGUACUGAAGUCGGCAGGACGCCAUGUUGGUGCCCAGGUGCAGUUCCAGUGUACCGAUGGCGAAAAGCUAGCAUUCACGUGUCUUGCGACGGGAGAAUGGGACACCAAAUCUCAGUGUUCACAGACUUGGCGCGUACGAACUUCCAAGUACAUUUGGCCCCGGAUCAGCAGUGACGUUUAUUGCCGAGCCCUUGGGAACAGGACACAAGUGGUCCAUCUUUGACUUCAAGAAAAACGGAGAUGAUAAAGCGGACAUACUGUUACAUACGUCUAUCCGAACAAGGACAAGAACGAUAGUAAGAAACUCUCGUCAGAAUGGCCAUUACGGACGUGAAGAAAAGGCACAUCUGUCACCUUUCGACAUCGAAGUCGGACAACCCUUCAACUUCACUGCAGUCCUUGACAAAACUGGAUAUAGGGGAUAUGUCAAUGGUGAUCAUUACUUCGACUUCAAGCACAGAGUCAAGGAAAUGCCGCAAUACGUGGCACUUCGUGGACAGAUGAAGGUGAACAGCAUGAAAGUCCGGAUCUAGGAUACGUCCUGAAUAUUGAGGAAUCAAAAAGUUCUUUCUCCAUCACACAAUUUAUCUCUACAGCAGAAGUUUAGCUACAUAUGAAAAGUGUUUUUGUGUUUUUGUAAGAGAAAAUAUCAUCGAGGAGGAAAGUCUUAUGAUCUUAUAAAGUUACACCUAUAUUAAAUAUUCUUCACCACUUCACCGUAAAAUUUGCAUUAAGCAAUUAAAUCUUGUAAUGAGUGAGAAAACCUUA